UACGUAGGGCGCAAGCGUUGUCCGGAAUUAUUGGGCGUAAAGAGCUCGUAGGCGGCUUGUCACGUCGGGUGUGAAAGACCGGGGCUUAACCCCGGUUCUGCAUUCGAUACGGGCUAGCUAGAGUGUGGUAGGGGAGAUCGGAAUUCCUGGUGUAGCGGUGAAAUGCGCAGAUAUCAGGAGGAACACCGGUGGCGAAGGCGGAUCUCUGGGCCAUUACUGACGCUGAGGAGCGAAAGCGUGGAGAGCGAACAGG
rnacentral:rRNA from 1 species